rnacentral:lncRNA from 1 species
UUCCUAGGGUGGCAGCACUGCAAAAAAGAAAGAUCCGCGGCGCUGAAGACUCGGGGAGCGCCAGGCAGUGCAAGGAGGAACGCAGAUGGCGAGGUGGGGACUGCAUUGAGGGGACACAGUCUCAGGCGCAAAAAAGAAAGGUUUCCGGUUCUUCGGGCACCAGCCCCUGAUUCGUGUACGAAUGCGUUUCCGGGUGUGGCGUGCACUGUCGAGAAAAGAGAGGACGGGAUAUUUGCUCAUCCCAGCGCAUUUUUGUGUCCGUGGGUCUCCCGCCGAAAUUUGAAGCCAGCGAGCUGGGGCAACACGCGAGCCUGCUCACCGCUUCUCAGAUGACCCGAGGCUGCCGUGACCCACACAAAAAAGACAGGUAGGCAAACCUCUCCGCGUUCCGUCGGAGAGGUUCCUCGCUUCUUCCCUCGCAGUGGAAACACACUCUCCACCCUAACGGCGACAACCAGAACGGGGUCUCGCGACGGGGUUCCUCUGGCUUUCUGCUUCCUCGGUCGUGUCGCCUUUCUAGAUACACCCGCCACUCCUCAGGCUGGGUGAAAACACGAGCUGCAGGUUUCUUUGAUCCUUCCAUCCACGCGAAAGCCGUGCGUAUGCAAGUUAACCCCAUGCAUCACGAGAAACAUUUGCCACAUGGGGCAUGAAACCACGAGCUGGACUACUCGCUUAGAUCUUUUGACUGUCGUUCUGUUUACGGAUCCCAGUUCCAGUGUGUUAGCGUGGUUUUGCGACGGGGCAGUAUAUAUAUGUGCGAGUAUAUUUCGGGUAUAUACCGUGUCAUUUUUUAUCGGGUGCUCUAGAUCUCGUUUCACGUGGGCAGUAACGCGAAACAAACACUCGACGCAAAGCGUUUCCUCUACGGGGAGGCGUGGUGAUUCGCAU